GAUGAACGCUGGCGGCGUGCCUAAUACAUGCAAGUCGAGCGAACAGACGAGGAGCUUGCUCCUCUGACGUUAGCGGCGGACGGGUGAGUAACACGUGGAUAACCUACCUAUAAGACUGGGAUAACUUCGGGAAACCGGAGCUAAUACCGGAUAAUAUAUUGAACCGCAUGGUUCAAUAGUGAAAGACGGUUUUGCUGUCACUUAUAGAUGGAUCCGCGCCGCAUUAGCUAGUUGGUAAGGUAACGGCUUACCAAGGCAACGAUGCGUAGCCGACCUGAGAGGGUGAUCGGCCACACUGGAACUGAGACACGGUCCAGACUCCUGCGGGAGGCAGCAGUAGGGAAUCUUCCGCAAUGGGCGAAAGCCUGACGGAGCAACGCCGCGUGAGUGAUGAAGGUCUUCGGAUCGUAAAACUCUGUUAUUAGGGAAGAACAAAUGUGUAAGUAACUAUACACGUCUUGACGGUACCUAAUCAGAAAGCCACGGCUAACUACGUG
rnacentral:rRNA from 1 species